rnacentral:rRNA from 1 species
UCUCCAGACUCCUACGGGAGGCAGCAGUAGGGAAUUUUGCGCAAUGGGCGAAAGCCUGACGCAGCAACGCCGCGUGAUCGAGACGCCCUUCGGGGUGUAAAGAUCUGUCAGUGGGGACGAAACUUGACGGUACCCACAGAGGAAGCACCGGCUAACUCCGUGCCAGCAGCCGCGGUAAUACGGGGGGUGCAAGCGUUGUCCGGAAUCAUUGGGCGUAAAGCGUUCGUAGGCGGUAAUGUAAGUCAGAUGUUAAAGCCCGGGGCUCAACUCCGGUUCGGCAUUUGAUACUACUUGACUAGAAUGCGGUAGAGGUAAAGGGAAUUCCUGGUGUAGCGGUGAAAUGCGUAGAUAUCAGGAGGAACAUCGGUGGCGAAAGCGCUUUACUGGGCCGUUAUUGACGCUGAGGAACGAAAGCCAGGGUAGCAAACGGGAUUAGAUACCCCGGUAU